AGUGAACGCUGGCGGUAGGCCUAACACAUGCCAGUCGAACGGCAGCACAGUAAGAGCUUGCUCUUACGGGUGGCGAGUGGCGGACGGGUGAGGAAUACAUCGGAAUCUACUUUUUCGUGGGGGAUAACGUAGGGAAACUUACGCUAAUACCGCAUACGACCUACGUGUGAAAGCAGGGGAUCUUCAGACUUUGCGCGAGUGGAUGAGCCGAUGUUGGAUUAGCUAGUUGGCAGGGUAAAGGCCCACCAAGGCGACGAUCCAUAGCUGGUCUGAGAGGAUGAUCAGCCACACUGGGACUGAGACACGGCCCAGACUCCUACGGGAGGCAGCAGGGGGGAAUAUUGGACAAUGGGCGAAAGCCGGAUCCAGCAAUGACGCGUGAGUGAUGAAGGCCUUAGGGUUGUAAAGCGCUUUUACCCGGGAUGAUAAUGACAGUACCGGGAGAAUAAGCUCCGGCUAACUCCGUG
rnacentral:rRNA from 1 species